GGCAGCUGCAAAUCCAGAAUUCCAAUAACUAAAGCCUGAAAGGACAGAAGAAGCUGAACCUGAAACCUUUUAAGGCAGUCUCCUUACAUCCCUCAAAACAAUGCAAAAAAAAAAAUGAGCCUUGGGUUGGGACCUGGAGGCCCCACAAGCCGAAAGGGCCCAUAGCUGCACAAUAUGGAAGCCCUGGGCCUGUAUAUAUGUUACCUGGACUAACAGUUUAAGGUGCAAUUCAACAUGACCCAACUAAACCCAAAGCACCAGCAUUCUCCAUUACGUCACGUCGUAAAGUGGCAAAUGCCGACUUUUAAAAAUUCCCACCCAAUUAUACCAGAUACGGCAAAGAUGGGACGCUGGCAUUUUCAGUCCAUGGCCGUCUAAAGCCACUUGCACCAUUCUGUACUCCUG